rnacentral:tRNA from 1 species
AGUAUCACGCCGGCAGAACGGACUACCCUGAUGAGGCAGAAUAUGGACUAAUACCCUGAUACUU